rnacentral:lncRNA from 1 species
AUGUAUGGCUAACUGUGAUCCUUGAGAAAUCGCCCUAUGCUAGUUGUGAAAUUGUUGGUAGUAGAUAUUCAUGUGAGAAUCAUUGUGAGUCUUUGUGUUGUAUGAUUGUGUGGUAAUACUUUGUGAUGAAUAUUUUGGAACUUGUAAUUGGAACAACGGAAAUGGAAAGUAAUGUAGAAUAAUGGAAAUGGAACAAUGUGGAACAAUGAAAAUGGAACAUUGUGGAACAAUGAAAAUGGAAAUAAUGUGGAAUAGUGAAAAUGUAAGUAUUAUGAAACAACGUGUGUGAUUAGUUGUGAAUAAUUGUUGUUAUGAUCUAAAUUGUGUACCAAUAUGAUGAACAUGAGGAAAUUGUGGUUGCUAGUUGUGGAAAUGUAUUACCC